CGUGAACCUUUACUAUAGCUUGACACUGAACAUUGAGCCUUGAUGUGUAGGAUAGGUGGGAGGCUUUGAAGCGUGGACGCCAGUCUGCGUGGAGCCGACCUUGAAAUACCACCCUUUAAUGUUUGAUGUUCUAACGUGGACCCGUUACCCGGGUUGCGGACAGUGUCUGGUGGGUAGUUUGACUGGGGCGGUCUCCUCCUAAAGAGUAACGGAGGAGCACGAAGGUUGGCUAAUCCUGGUCGGACAUCAGGAGGUUAGUGCAAUGGCAUAAGCCAGCUUGACUGCGAGCGUGACGGCGCGAGCAGGUGCGAAAGCAGGUCAUAGUGAUCCGGUGGUUCUGAAUGGAAGGGCCAUCGCUCAACGGAUAAAAGGUACUCCGGGGAUAACAGGCUGAUACCGCCCAAGAGUUCAUAUCGACGGCGGUGUUUGGCACCUCGAUGUCGGCUCAUCACAUCCUGGGGCUGAAGUAGGUCCCAAGGGUAUGGCUGUUCGCCAUUUAAAGUGGUACGCGAGCUGGGUUUAGAACGUCGUGAGACAGUUCGGUCCCUAUCUGCCGUGGGCGCUGGAGAACUGAGGGGGGCUGCUCCUAGUACGAGAGGACCGGAGUGGACGCAUCACUGGUGUUCGGGUUGUCAUGCCAAUGGCACUGCCCGGUAGCUAAAUGCGGAAGAGAUAAGUGCUGAAAGCAUCUAAGCACGAAACUUGCCCCGA
rnacentral:rRNA from 1 species